CCGGACGUUAAACGGCACAAUUAAAAAUAAACGCUAAGAAUAAUACUUUAGCAUUCGCAGCGUAAGCUGCGUGUCGCCCGCCCGGGACCUGCAACGGGCGGAUACGGCAUCAUCAGGGCAGGAAACGACAUGGCCUAAGCUUUGCGGUCAUGGGCGUAUCAUGAAGCUACCAAAGCACUGCGGCUGUCUGUUUUCCGCGGUGCAUGAGGGAAAGCGGCCGGGCCGGUAUAACAGACUAUGAUAGUAGAAGUACAUUGGACGGGUCUUUGGACGCGGGUUCGAUUCCCGCCUAAUCCAUCU
rnacentral:tmRNA from 1 species